rnacentral:rRNA from 1 species
CUUGACAUCCCGAUGCUAUUUCUAGAGAUAGAAAGUUACUUCGGUACAUCGGUGACAGGUGGUGCAUGGUGUCGUCAGCUCGUGUCGUGAGAUGUUGGGUUAAGUCCCGCAACGAGCGCAACCCCUAUUGUUAGUUGCCAUCAUUCAGUUGGGCACUCUAGCGAGACUGCCGGUAAUAAACCGGAGGAAGGUGGGGAUGACGUCAAAUCAUCAUGCCCCUUAUGACCUGGGCUACACACGUGCUACAAUGGUUGGUACAACGAGUUGCGAGUCGGUGACGGCGAGCUAAUCUCUUAAAGCCAAUCUCAGUUCGGAUUGUAGGCUGCAACUCGCCUACAUGAAGUCGGAAUCGCUAGUAAUCGCGGAUCAGCACGCCGCGGUGAAUACGUUCCCGGGCCUU